rnacentral:rRNA from 1 species
UUUUUGGAGAGUUUGAUCCUGGCUCAGGACGAACGCUGGCGGCGUGCUUAACACAUGCAAGUCGAACGGGGUGUUUAUUUCGGUAAACACCAAGUGGCGAACGGGUGAGUAACGCGUAAGCAAUCUACCUUCAAGAUGGGGACAACACUUCGAAAGGGGUGCUAAUACCGAAUGAAUGUAAGAGUAUCGCAUGAGACACUUACUAAAGGAGGCCUCUGACAUAAGCUUCCGCUUGAAGAUGAGCUUGCGUCUGAUUAGCUAGUUGGUGAGGGUAAAGGCCCACCAAGGCGACGAUCAGUAGCCGGUCUGAGAGGAUGAACGGCCACAUUGGGACUGAGACACGGCCCAGACUCCUA